rnacentral:tRNA from 2 species
GCGGGUGUGGUUCAAUGGUAGAACGGCGGCUUCCCAAGCCUCAAGCGUGGGUUCGAUUCCCAUCACCCGCUCCA